CGUAGGUGGCAAGCGUUGUCCGGAUUUAUUGGGUUUAAAGGGUGCGUAGGCGGUUUUAUAAGUCAGUGGUGAAAUCCGGCAGCUUAACUGUCGAUGUGCCAUUGAUACUGUAAGACUUGAGUACUGAUGAGGUAGGCGGAAUUGACGGUGUAGCGGUGAAAUGCUUAGAUAUCGCCAAGAACACCGAUAGCGAAGGCAGCUUACUAAGGAGUAACUGACGCUGAUGCACGAAAGUGUGGGGAUCAAACAGGAUUAGAUACCCUGGUAGUCCACACUGUAAACGAUGAUUACUCGAUGUUGGCGAUACACAGCCAGCGUCUUAGCGAAAGCGAUAAGUAAUCCACCUGGGGAGUACGCCGGCAACGGUG
rnacentral:rRNA from 1 species